rnacentral:lncRNA from 13 species
UCCUUGCUGUCCCCAGUCCACCUGGUCGUGCUGCUGCUCCAGUUUAAACUAUUCUGCCUGCGGCUAUGGAACCCUGACCUGUUCACCGGACAUGCUGUUUUCGACUCUCUCUCUCUACCUCACCAGCUGUUCCGGACGACUGUGUGAUCACACUCUCCGUAGCCGAAGUGAGCAAGUCCUUUAAACAGGUCAAUAUUUACAAGGCCGCAGGGCCAGAUGGAUUACCAGGAUGUGUACUCAGAGCAUGCGAGGACCAACUUCCAAGUGUCCUGCCAGGGUCCUGAGCUUAGUGAUAAACUUGAAAGGCACUCUGGUGUUGAACGCUGAGCUAUAGUCAAUGAACAGCAUUCUCACGUAGGUGUUCCUCUUGUCAAGGUGGGAGAGGGCAGUGUAGAGUGCAAUAGAGAUUCGGUCACCUGUGGAUCUGUUGGGGUGGUAUGCAAAUUGGAGUGGGUCCAGGGUGUCUGGGAUGAUGGUGUUGAUGUGGGCCAUUUCAUGGUUACGAAAUGUGAGUACUAGUCAUUUAUAGUCAUUUAGACAGGUUAGCUUGGCAUUCUUGGGCACAGGGAUUAUGGUGGUCUGCUUGAAACAUGUAGGUAUUACGAACUCAGAGAGAGGUUGAAAAUGUCAGUGAAGAUGCCAGCUGGUUAGCGCAUGCUCUGAGUACGCGUCAUGGUAAUCCAUUUGUCCCUGCGGCCUUGUGAAUGUUAACCUGUUUAAAUGUCUUACUCACAUCGGCUACGUAGAGCGAGAACACACAAUCGUCUGGAACAGCUGGUGCUCUUAUGCACGGUUCAGUGGUGCUUGCCUCGACGCAAGCAUUGAAGGAAUUUAGGUCUUCGGGUAUACUUGUGUGACUGGGCAGCUUACGGCCAGGUUUCCCUUUGAAAGCCUUCCCUACAAAACAAGGGUAAAUACCCGUGCAUAUCUUUUUUUGUCCUGAUCUUCCAGAAUGCUUUGAGAGUCAGAGGGAGGUUGCAGAAAUGACUGAAGAUGAGAAGCAGGAGAGCAUUUGCCAGAGAGGGGGCUCAGCAGAUCACACUGCAUUUCCUGUGGAACAUGAAGCAGAAGGAGCCAGCUGACAUAAUGGAGAAAGAUGAGCUUGCUGUGUUCCAACCUAAAUUCAAAUCCAACCCGGAAAGAAAGUUUCAGUGCAUGUUCAAGCGAAUAGCUGAGCAAAAAAACACAUUGCUCAUCAGGAUCUACACAAUGCGCUACAUCACAGAAGGUGGAAGCGGAGAGGUCAAUAAUGAACAUGAGGUUGUUGAGAUGUAA